rnacentral:misc_RNA from 1 species
CGAAAUGCGAUAAGUAGUGUGAAUUGCAGAAUUCAGUGAAUCAUCGAAUCUUUGAACGCACAUUGCGCCUUCUGGUAUUCCGGGAGGCAUGCCUGUUCGAGCGUCAUCAAAAACCUCAGUCAGCAAUUUAUUGUUGACUGGUCUUGCGCUGGAGGCGAAAGCUUCCUGUGCGAAAUUCAAUGGCGAUGAGCCACGCAGCCAAAGCGUAGUAAAUUACUCUCGUGAUGGUGAAGUGGGAGCAUCCGCCGAAACCCCCCAUAUCUAAGUUUUUGACCUCGGAUCAGGUAGGGAUACCCGCUGAACUUAAGC